UGAAACACGGACCAAGGAGUCUAGCAUGUGCGCGAGUCAAUGGGUGUUGAAACCCAGAGGCGUAAUGAAAGUGAAAGUCGGUUCGGCCGACCGAUACGGGAUCCGUUGCCUUGGCGGCGGCGCACCGUAGCCGCAUUCCGAUCGCUUGCGAUGGGGUGCAGGCAGAGCGUACACGCUGGUACCCGAAAGAUGGUGAACUAUGCCUGAGCAGGACGAAGCCGCAGGAAACUGCGGUGGAAGUCCGCAACGGUUCUGACGUGCAAAUCGAUCGUUAGACUUGGGUAUAGGGGCGAAAGACUAAUCGAACCAUCUAGUAGCUGGUUCCCUCCGAAGUUUCCCCCAGGAUAGCUGGAGCUCGGGAAACAGUUGUAUCCGGUAAAGCGAAUGAUUAGAGGCCUUGGGGACGAAACGACCUCAACCUAUUCUCAAACUUUAAAUGGGUACGAAGCCGCGGUUGCUUGACUCGAACUGUCGGCAGUGAAUGUGAGCUCCAAGUGGGCCAUUUUUGGUAAGCA
rnacentral:rRNA from 1 species